GACGAACGCUGGCGGCGUGCUUAACACAUGCAAGUCGAACGAAGUGGCGAACGGGUGAGUAACGCGUAAUCAACCUGCCCUUCAGAGGGGGACAACAGUUGGAAACGACUGCUAAUACCGCAUACUGAAGGCGGGGAUUGCGUCUGAUUAGCUAGGUGGAGGGGUAACGGCCCACCAAGGCGAUGGUCAGUAGCCGGGCUGGGAGGGAGGACGGCCACAUUGGGACUGGGAAACGGCCCAGACUCCUACGGGAGGCAGCCGUGGGGGAUCUUCCGCAAUGGACGAAAGUCUGGCGGAGCAACGCCGCGUGAGUGAUGAAGGCCUUCGGGUUGUAAAGCUAUGUUAAUCGGGACGCGGUACCGGAAUAGAAAGCCACGGCUAACUACGUGCCAGCAGCCGCGGUAAUAC
rnacentral:rRNA from 1 species